rnacentral:lncRNA from 1 species
UUCUUCUUAUUUUAGCUAAAAUUUUGCUCCAAAUUCUUGGGAAAUGUCAGGAGCUCCUCUUAGAAGAAUUGACCCAAAUGAAUACUCUCCAGAAAAACAUGAAUCAGCAAUGAGAUUGCAAGCUCUCAUCCUGUUCCUCAGACCAACUACCCAGUACCUUCAUGGACGUAUGUCCCUGCAAGCCUACUGACACCCAAUUUCUGGCACUGGGGAGACUUGGGAGCAGAGUACCAGAAACUCAUCCUCUACGACUGAAAGAAGUUUACAAUAUAGAGGACAUCUCAGCUGAAUUACCACGUUAUGUCCACCAAUUUGUAUUCAGAUGGGAGCCAUAUGUUCCUCCACUUUAUCUG